GACGAACGCUGGCGGCGUGCCUAAUACAUGCAAGUUGAGCGCUGAAGGUUGGUACUUGUACCAACUGGAUGAGCAGCGAACGGGUGAGUAACGCGUGGGGAAUCUGCCUUUGAGCGGGAGACAACAUUUGGAAACGAAUGCUAAUACCGCAUAAAAACUUUAAACACAAGUUUUAAGUUUGAAAGAUGCAAUUGCAUCACUCAAAGAUGAUCCCGCGUUGUAUUAGCUAGUUGGUGAGGUAAAGGCUCACCAAGGCGAUGAUACAUAGCCGACCUGAGAGGGUGAUCGGCCACAUUGGGACUGAGACACGGCCCAAACUCCUACGGGAGGCAGCAGUAGGGAAUCUUCGGCAAUGGACGAAAGUCUGACCGAGCAACGCCGCGUGAGUGAAGAAGGUUUUCGGAUCGUAAAACUCUGUUGGUAGAGAAGAACGUUGGUGAGAGUGGAAAGUUCAUCAAGUGACGGUAACUACCCAGAAAGGGACGGCUAACUACGUG
rnacentral:rRNA from 1 species